UAAUUAAACAUUUAUUUUAUUUUAUGAUUUUUUUAAAAAUAUUUUUAAAUUAUUUAAAAAUAAUAAAACAAUUGAAAAUCAAAUAAAUCACUAAAAUGAGGGUGAGAUUGAGAGGGUGGGGAACUGAGAUAGUAAGAAUGAGAUUGGGUGUGUUGACGCGGUUCUUCGCCAACAGUUAAUUACGAAAAUAAGAGGAAGAGAUUAGUGCUUAACUAUGAACCGAAAUAGAUGAAUGAUCUUUGUAAGUGGACUAGUGACACAAUCACGUUUUUAGGUGGUUCAAAGGUUAAAAUCUUUCUACUCCACCAGCCAAUAUUAUUGCUAUAUGCUUGGUAUUCUUUUACAGGGUAUUUCCUUACACAAUAGAAUCCAACCCUUUGCAACUUCCAGGGUCUCCAUAUUUAUAGGAGAGGGCACCUGGAAGUUGGUAAGAAGGUCAUCCCGUGACCUUCUUACCUAUCAUGUCAACUCUGUGACAUUCAUGAUUAAUUCCUAAAACCUGACACAUGAAGUGUGGUCUAAUCAAUAGGUAAGGGGGAUAAUGGGCCGCACGGCCGAACCCAAUCGUGUGUGUCUGAAUACGCACGUUCAUACUGCGUGUCCGGGAAGUCAGGGUAUAUCAGACACGUGAUGUCUGAUAUAUGCACGUUUACCUUGCGUGGUUAACUUUAUAAAAGGUCACAACCUCCAACUCUAGCUCGUACCACGAGCUGGAUGCUUCCCUCGACCUGUGGCCUUCAGAGUCCAAACUCAGUCCUUAAACAAUCUUGGCUAACCUUUGGAUACCCCUAGCUAACGAGACAGGACCUGAGGACAACAGCUCCGGUCAGGGGGAUCCACGUGGCUGAUAUAGUUUAGGCCGUAUCUCAGCUCGCUAAUAGCCCGUUGGAAAAUCAGGGCGUACAUUUGCCCCCAAGCCCCUGCUCGUGGUACACGACGUCGUAUAGGGCCACAGUAGGGGCUUUUAGGCUUCCCCAUGAACUCCUCAUAUUCCACAUUUUACGCAGGCGCCGAAUAUGUGGAACAUCGUGGUUGGUGACGGUACGUCUUCCGAGAACCACUUUAAAUGGCCUAGCCUAUACUCAGCCGUCGUUUCGUCUUUCGAGUGGAGAGCCUUGGAUCCCACAUCAGGGCAAUCCAACGGCCCCUCUCACGUGACCUUUCAUGUAUAUAAAAAGGGUGGCCACCUUACGCAUGGGCCACCUGUUCAUUUGAAAUUUUUCAGAAUUUUUCUUCUUCUUCACUCUUCUUCAUUUUCAAAAGAAAAACCCUCUUCUUUCCGGCUGCCAUUCCCAGCGCUCAAGAAGUUCAGGUGUAAGGGCUCCCUUGAAGCUUUGGAAUCAACUACUCCGACGAAGCCCCAACCCAGACGAUCCCUUCAUCCUCUUCUCAACCAGAACACUCUGUAAGUCUCCUGACCGUGCAUGUUUUGAAAUUAUUUUUCACUGUAGCCUAGGUAAAUAUUUACUGUAAUUGCAUGAAAGGUUUUUUUGGUUUUUUGUGGGUAUGAAGGAAAAAAGCCUUUAGGUUAGGGUAUCUCUUGCAGUAGAAAACCAUUUAGGAACACGGUUUACAGGAUACAUUUUCUGGGGAAAUUUUCUGGGUAGGAUUUUUGGUACGCUUGUUUAAAAUAUCCAGUAUUUUGGGUGCAAAACCGGGUAGCUUAGGGGACACGCUUCACAGGCGGUUUUGCCUCUCUUGCCUACUGAAACUUUCCUUCCAAGGCAAAUUUCUAUCCUGACACACGAAUUCUGAGUAAUCGGGGAUCUGUUGGGAGCACAGGCGUGUGUUCAUAGAACCGCGUGGUCUCACUCUCCACGGGUUGAGAUUACCUCAGCUCGUGCAAAUGAAACACUUCUCUUGAUUCUUCCUUAUGCUUAGGUCGCAUUUUCUGAAAUCUUUUCUUUUGUUCGCCAGGCGACCAGAUGGCACCCAAGAAGAACGCUCCAAAGAGGAUCGCCGGCAGCUCGUCCUCCCAACAAUCCAAGGGAAAAAAGGUGAUGACGGACUCCCCAAUCCCUGUCUUCGGGCCGGCCAUGGAGCAGGAGCUCGAGGUGGCGCCCGAUGCUUUCUUCGAGGCUGAAAGGAUCAUCUCGAAGAUCACUGACCAGGGGAAAGUGAACAAGAUAUUCCUUUCCCAUGGCAUCGAACUGGGGAGGGGCGCCCUCAUCGCCCGACCUCCCGCAAAAGGUGAGCGGAGCUGUGCGCCGCUCGACGAGGAAUUCGCGGCCUGGAGUGACGAACACUUCAAAGCCGGGGCUUUCCUCCCGUUGGAUCAGUACUUCGCCGACUUCCUCAAUUAUGUGAGGUUGGCCCCUUUCCAGCUCCCCCCCAACUCCUAUCAUUUGUUGGCAGGGUUGAGAUAUCUGUUCCUGAAACAGGAGUGGGAGGUCCCCACUCCGGCAGAUAUCUUAUACUUUUUCUGCCUCAAAUCCAGCCCGGAGCAGCGGGGGUGAGGCGACGGGUUCUAUUACUUAACCCGGUUUCCAAAUACGUCUGCGGUCAUCGAGCUGCCCAGCCACCCCAACGACUUCAAAGACCAGUUCUUUAUGUCCAAGGGGUUUCGCAACUUCGACCUGCACUACUUCAACCGUCCUCAUAAGUACCUUUCAUCUCUAGCUCGUAAGUUAAGUAUCGGUUAGCUCCCCCCUGUAUCCAUUUCUGACUUAGAAUAAUUCUGCAGCUAUUUUUGCGAGGACAGAGAAGUCUGUGAUUCUCGGGAGCCAGUACGAGACACUGGCGGGCUUGCCCCCCAGUGAAAAAGACUAUUGCCAGCUCGUGACAGACGAGACGAUGCUGGCCUGUAAGCUGAUCUCCCCAGGCCAGACUCUGAACCUAAGGAGGCCCCGGGUGCCUCCCCCAGCUCGCGAGAUGAGGCCUAUCCCCGUGGAUGAGGACGCGGGGGAUGAGAAUGAGGAGGACGAGGUGCCCCUCGUGAGGACGAGGAAGCGGGCGUUGGAGGUCGCCCAAAGAACGGACGAGGAGAGGAUCUGGUCCGGAGCAGUUGCAGGUCCCUCCGGCCAAGGUAACCCAUAUAUGUUUAGGAACUUAGAUAGGGCCAUUGCAGACCCCCGGCUAGCUAGGCUCAAUGCCAAACAGAUCGUCCAACGCCAUCGAAGUGACCCAGACUUUGAUGAAACCCUGCUCCAUUGCGUCGACCAGCUCGUGUUGGAUUACGAAAGUAGCCGCCUUAGGGGUACCCUAGCUGUUGACAACACCCUAGGCUUUAGGUCGGUCCUAUUCGAGGAGUAUGGGACUAACCUUCGGUCGUGGCCAUCACUCCGGGACGGUGUCGUAGCUCCGGGUCUUAGGCAAUACGUAGAAGAGUCUAGUCCUGAGACAGCCUCGGAUCCAGAACCCGCGCCAGCUCGAGAAGUAAUUGUCUUAGAUUCCCCCGCAGAAGCUCCGGGGCCGAUGGUCGUGACCAUAGAUUCCUCUUCUAGCUCGGGGGAGGAGAUGUCUCAGCCCGGGGGAGAAAUUUGCGAGCCAUGUUCAUCGGAGGGAACUCCUCAGCUGGGGCCUCUAGGCCCAAAAUGAAGAAGCUCCGGGUGGCAAAGAAAGCCGCUGGGACCCCAACCAAGUCCCCCGCAAAGGGGAAAGAGCAGACCCCAGCUGCCCAGGCCGAGGAAACUACACCUCUUGCUGUAGUGGAGAACAUGCCCCCACCCCCUCCGCGAGCUCCGGCCUUUGUCCGGGACACAGGGGCGGAGCUCGGGGCCUCGGAAAGUGCGCCCCCAAGGUACGUAUCCCGGUGGACCCCCAGGAUCUGGAGAAGAUUCCAGAUGUCUUUCAGGGGGACGGUGUAUGAGACGGCGAGCUACGCCGUCAGCCACUUCUACCGCUUCAAUGAGAGGGAGCUGCGGGCCAUCGAAACAAGGAGCCCGGUGGGCGUAAUGGAAUCUUCAUUGGGCAUGGCCCUAACGAGCGUCUUGGCCCUUCACCGGAGCAUAGCCAGGACCAAGGCCCAGCUCGAGGAUAUGAGGGGUGAGCAUCAGGCGGUUGUGGCCACCCAUUAAACUUCCUUGCAGACGGCCCAACAGAAAGAAAAAGAGGCCAAGGAUGCCCUGGCGGGCGUGCAGGCCGAGCUGGAAGAAGCCCGUCCCAAGCUUCAAGAGGUCGAGGCUACCAAAGCCGCCCUUGCUGCCGCGGUGGUCGAGCUAGACUCUGCGAAGGCCGGGGCCGAGGAGGCCAAGGCCGCCUUGGAAACAGAGAAGGCAGCUUCCAACACCGCCAUGGAGGACAUGCUCUACCACUGCUGGGCUUAUAACCCGGACGGCGACUUCUCCUUCUUAGGAGCGGACGGGGAGGUCUUCCUGGAGGGGUUCAAAGCUCGCCUCCAGCAACAGGCACCUUCUGAAACCGGGGAGGCAUCCGUUGUAGCCGAGCAGGAGGGCGAGACGGCGACCUCCAUGGGGCAGCCUGGUGGAGCUUAGGGCCUUUCUUUUUCGUACCCAUUCCUUUAAUAUUCUCAUUUUUUUUUUGUGUAACUUUGCAUGAAGUUUUUCUACCUCGAGAUAAUCGGUUUUUAUCAAUUUUUUACCUUUGAUUGGUUUAUUU